rnacentral:rRNA from 1 species
GAUGAACGCUGGCGGCGUGCCUAAUACAUGCAAGUCGAACGAAACUUCUUUAUCACCGAGUGCUUGCACUCACCGAUAAAGAGUUGAGUGGCGAACGGGUGAGUAACACGUGGGCAACCUGCCCAAAAGAGGGGGAUAACACUUGGAAACAGGUGCUAAUACCGCAUAACCAUAGUUACCGCAUGGUAACUAUGUAAAAGGUGGCUAUACUACCGCUUUUGGAUGGGCCCGCGGCGCAUUGGCUAGUUGGUAGGGUAAAGGCUUACCAAGGCAAUGAUGCGUAGCCGAAGUGAGAGGUUGAUCGGCCACAUUGGGACUGAGACACGGCCCAAACUCCUACGGGAGGCAGCAGUAGGGAAUCUUCCACAAUGGGCGAAAGCCUGAUGGAGCAACGCCGCGUGGGUGAAGAAGGUCUUCGGAUCGUAAAACCCUGUUGUUAGAGAAGAAAGUGCGUGAGAGUAACUGUUCACGUUUCGACGGUAUCUAACCAGAAAGCCACGGCUAACUACGUG